rnacentral:rRNA from 1 species
UCCUACGGGGGGCAGCAGUGGGGGAUAUUGCACAAUGGGGGAAACCCUGAUGCAGCGAUGCCGCGUGAAUGAAGACGGCCUUCGGGUUGUAAAGUUCUGUCGCAGGGGACGAAAAUGACGGUACCCCGCAAGAAAGCUCCGGCUAACUACGUGCCAGCAGCCGCGGUAAUACGUAGGGAGCAAGCGUUAUCCGGAUUUACUGGGUGUAAAGGGAGCGUAGACGGCCAGACAAGUCUGAAGUGAAAAUCCAGCGCUUAACGUUGGAAGUGCUUUGGAAACUGCCGGGCUAGAGUGCAGGAGGGGCA